ACGGGUGCGUAACGCGUGGGAAUCUGCCCUUUGGUUCGGAAUAACAGCUGGAAACGGCUGCUAAUACCGGAUGAUGACGUAAGUCCAAAGAUUUAUCGCCAGAGGAUGAGCCCGCGUUGGAUUAGGUAGUUGGUGGGGUAAAGGCCUACCAAGCCGACGAUCCAUAGCUGGUCUGAGAGGAUGAUCAGCCACACUGGGACUGAGACACGGCCCAGACUCCUACGGGAGGCAGCAGUGGGGAAUAUUGGACAAUGGGCGAAAGCCUGAUCCAGCAAUGCCGCGUGAGUGAUGAAGGCCCUAGGGUUGUAAAGCUCUUUUACCCGGGAAGAUAAUGACUGUACCGGGAGAAUAAGCCCCGGCUAACUCCGUGCCAGCAGCCGCGGUAAUACGGAGGGGGCUAGCGUUGUUCGGAAUUACUGGGCGUAAAGCGCACGUAGGCGGCUUUGUAAGUCAGAGGUGAAAGCCUGGAGCUCAACUCCAGAACUGCCUUUGAGACUGCAUCGCUUGAAUCCAGGAGAGGUCAGUGGAAUUCCGAGU
rnacentral:rRNA from 1 species